UACGUAGGGUGCGAGCGUUGUCCGGAAUUAUUGGGCGUAAAGGGCUCGUAGGCGGUUUGUCGCGUCGGGAGUGAAAUCCACUGGCUUAACUGGUGGCUUGCUUUCGAUACGGGCAGACUGGAGGUAUGCAGGGGAGAACGGAAUUCCUGGUGUAGCGGUGAAAUGUGCAGAUAUCAGGAGGAACACCGGUGGCGAAGGCGGUUCUCUGGGCAUGUCCUGACGCUGAGGAGCGAAAGUGUGGGGAGCGAACAGG
rnacentral:rRNA from 1 species